UUGUAAACAUUUAUAUUGACACAGGGAUUAUAUGCAAAUGUGGGUCUGCACUACACUAGUGUUUUGUGGCUUGCAUAACAGUCAGGUGGCACGCAUCCAUCACACAAGUUGAUUUUGAUAGAGUAAUUGAGGGAUAGAAAAAUAUGCAAGCUGUACCUACACCUAGAAGUGUAAUAGAAUUCUGUAUGCAGGACACUGCUGCAGGCAUGGGCACGAAGGUUUAGUUUAGGGUCCUGGUUCCGAGGGACUCCACUACUCCAGGCGCCAAAAACACAACAGACCAACAGACAGAUGUCUUCUUUUUGGGCCCUUGGUACUCACUGCGCUGAAAGCCGGGUGUUCCUAUUUCGGCAUAGCAGGCGCAGGUUUCUUAUUCAUACUCCUGUACAACGUGCGCGAUGGGUCCUGUGAUGGCACCCUCCCCUUCCCGCGUGGCGGCGAUUGAAAAUACUU